rnacentral:rRNA from 1 species
AGUGAACGCUGGCGGUAGGCCUAACACAUGCAAGUCGAACGGCAGCACAGUAAGAGCUUGCUCUUACGGGUGGCGAGUGGCGGACGAGUGAGGAAUACAUCGGAAUCUACUUUUUCGUGGGGGAUAACGUAGGGAAACUUACGCUAAUACCGCAUACGACCUACGGGUGAAAGCAGGGGAUCUUCGGACCUUGCGCGAUUGAAUGAGCCGAUGUCGGAUUAGCUAGUUGGCGGGGUAAAGGCCCACCAAGGCGACGAUCCGUAGCUGGACUGAGAGGAUGAUCAGCCACACUGGAACUGAGACACGGUCCAGACUCCUACGGGAGGCAGCAGUGGGGAAUAUUGGACAAUGGGCGCAAGCCUGAUCCAGCCAUACCGCGUGGGUGAAGAAGGCCUUCGGGUUGUAAAGCCCUUUUGUUGGGAAAGAAAAGCAGCAGGUUAAUACCCCGCUGUUCUGACGGUACCCAAAGAAUAAGCACCGGCUAACUUCGUG